UGAUUCAGUACCCUCCUAGAUUUGGCCC
rnacentral:piRNA from 1 species